rnacentral:ncRNA from 1 species
CAAGGUAAUGCUGAACGCACAGAAGUCAGCAGAGGUCAUAGUAGCCAUGAGGUGAAGG